UACGUAGGCAGCGAGCGUUGUUCGGAGUUACUGGGCGUAAAGCGUGCGUAGGCGGUUUUGUAAGUUUGGUGUGAAAUCUCCCGGCUCAACUGGGAGGGUGCGCCGAAAACUGCAAGGCUGGAGUGUGGGAGAGGUAGGCGGAAUUCCUGGUGUAGCGGUGAAAUGCGCAGAUAUCAGGAGGAACACCUGUGGCGAAAGCGAGUUACUGGUCCAUUACUGACACUGAGGAACGAAAGCCAGGGUAGCAAAAGGG
rnacentral:rRNA from 1 species